rnacentral:lncRNA from 1 species
CGUCUCUGCUCUUGGUGCAUUUUUUCUUUUCCAGCCGUGCAAGCAAUAUUUUUACAGCAUUGUUUUUAUAGUUUUUAUUUUUAUUUGCAAUUCCUAUUUUCUUUUCCAGCAAUUCCUUUAAGCACUUAAUUACUUUUUCACACAAUAGUUUCCACACCGGAAAUUAUUGUGUACCUUUUACUAGAUCCAACCUUACGUUAGAUCCUAGAUUUUUAUUCCUUCAUUUUUAUUUAUCUGUCCGAUUGAAGAAUUCAAGAACAAAUCCAACCAGUCUGUGGUGGAGUG